rnacentral:rRNA from 1 species
CCUACGGGAUGCAGCAGUAGGGAAUUUUUCACAAUGGGCGAAAGCCUGAUGGAGCAACGCCGCGUGCAGGAUGAAGGCCUUCGGGUUGUAAACUGCUUUUAUAAGCGAGAAAUAUGAUGGUAACUUAUGAAUAAGGAUCGGCUAACUACGUGCCAGCAGCCGCGGUCAUACGUAGGAUCCGAGCAUUAUCCGGAGUGACUGGGUGUAAAGAGUUGCGUAGGUGGCAUAAUAAGUAGCUAGUGAAAUCUGGUGGCUCAACCAUUCAGACUAUUAGCUAAACUGUUAAGCUCGAGACCGUUAGGGGUAACUGGAAUUUCUAGUGUAGGAGUGAAAUCCGUAGAUAUUAGAAGGAACACCAAUAGCGUAGGCAGGUUGCUGGGACGGUUCUGACACUAAGGCACGAAAGCGUAGGGAGCAAACGGGAUUAGAUACCCGAGUAGUC